rnacentral:rRNA from 1 species
UACGAAGGGGGCUAGCGUUGCUCGGAAUCACUGGGCGUAAAGGGCGCGUAGGCGGCCAUUCAAGUCAGAGGUGAAAGCCCAAGGCUCAACCUUGGAACUGCCUUUGAUACUGUUUGGCUCGAGUCCGGGAGAGGGUAGUGGAAUUCCCAGUGUAGCGGUGAAAUGCGUAGAUAUUGGGAGGAACACCGGUGGCGAAGGCGGCUACCUGGACCGGUACUGACGCUGAGGCGCGAAAGCGUGGGGAGCAAACAGG